GACAGAGGGUGCAAACGUUGUUCGGAAUUACUGGGCGUAAAGCGUGUGUAGGCGGCUUGCAAGUCGGAUGUGAAAGCCCGGGCUCAACCCUCGGAUGCCGGUGGAUACUGUCGGGCUUGAGUACGGAAGAGGCGAGUGGAAUUCCUGGUGUAGCGGUGAAAUGCGCAGAUAGUCAGGAGGAACACCUAUUGCGAAGGCAGCUCGCUGGGACGUGACUGACGCUGAGACGCGAAGCGUGGGGAGCAAACAGG
rnacentral:rRNA from 1 species